rnacentral:rRNA from 1 species
CAGAGAUGGUUUCCUUCAGUUCGGCUGACGCGGAGACAGGUGCUGCAAGCCUGUCGUCAGCUCGUGUCGUGAGAGGUUGGGUUAAGUCCCGCAACGAGCGCAACCCUCGUCCUCAGUUGCCAUCGGGUUGGCCGGGCACUCUGGGGAAACUGCCGGUGACAAGCCGGAGGAAGGCGGGGAUGACGUCAAGUCCUCAUGGCCCUUAUGGGCUGGGCUACACACGUGCUACAAUGGCGGUGACAGUGGGCUGCGAGGGGGCGACCCUGAGCCAAUCUCCAAACGCCGUCUCAGUUCGGAUUGCACUCUGCAACUCGAGUGCAUGAAGUCGGAAUCGCUAGUAAUCGCGGAUCAGCAUGCCGCGGUGAAUACGUUCCCGGGCCUUGUACACACCGCCCGUCACACCAUGGGAGUUGGCUUUACCCGAAGCCGGUGCGCUAACCUUAAGGGAGGC